UACGAGGGGGGCGAGCGUUGUUCGGAAUUAUUGGGCGUAAAGGGUGCGUAGGCGGUUCCGCAAGUCCUGUGUGAAAUCUUCGGGCUCAACUCGAAGUCUGCACGGGAAACUGCGGGGGCUUGAGUGUGGGAGAGGUGAGUGGAAUUCUCGGUGUAGCGGUGAAAUGCGUAGAUAUCGGGAGGAACACCUGUGGCGAAAAGCGGCUCACUGGACCAUAACUGAC
rnacentral:rRNA from 1 species